rnacentral:rRNA from 1 species
AUUGAACGCUGGCGGAAUGCUUUACACAUGCAAGUCGAACGGCAGCACGGGGCAACCUGGUGGCGAGUGGCGAACGGGUGAGUAAUACAUCGGAACGUGCCCAAUCGUGGGGGAUAACGUAGCGAAAGUUACGCUAAUACCGCAUACGAUCUACGGAUGAAAGCGGGGGAUCGCAAGACCUCGCGCGAGUGGAGCGGCCGAUGUCAGAUUAGGUAGUUGGUGGGGUAAAGGCUCACCAAGCCAACGAUCUGUAGCUGGUCUGAGAGGACGACCAGCCACACUGGAACUGAGACACGGUCCAGACUCCUACGGGAGGCAGCAGUGGGGAAUUUGGACAAUGGGCGCAAGCCUGAUCCAGCCAUUCCGCGUGCAGGAUGAAGGCCUUCGGGUUGUAAACUGCUUUGUACGGAACGAAACGGCGAGGCUCUAAUACAGUUUGCUAAUGACGGUACCGUAAGAAUAAGCACCGGCUAACUACGUGCCAGCAGCCGCGGUAAACUAA